rnacentral:rRNA from 1 species
UGGGGAAUAUUGCACAAUGGGGGAAACCCUGAUGCAGCAACGCCGCGUGAGUGAUGAAGGCCUUCGGGUUGUAAAGCUCUGUCUUUGGGGACGAUAAUGACGGUACCCAAGGAGGAAGCCACGGCUAACUACGUGCCAGCAGCCGCGGUAAUACGUAGGUGGCAAGCGUUGUCCGGAUUUACUGGGCGUAAAGGGAGCGUAGGUGGAUAUUUAAGUGGGAUGUGAAAUACCUGAGCUUAACUUGGGUGCUGCAUUCCAAACUGGAUAUAUAGAGUGCAGGAGAGGAAAGUGGAAUUCCUAGUGUAGCGGUGAAAUGCGUAGAGAUUAGGAAGAACCCCAGUGGCGAAGGCGACUUUCUGGACUGUAACUGACACUGAGGCUCGAAAGCGUGGGGAGCAAACA